AGCGACAGGCAAACGAACAGGGCC
rnacentral:siRNA from 1 species